rnacentral:rRNA from 1 species
GAAUGGCUCAUUAAAACAGUUAUAGUUUAUUCGAUAGUAAAAUUACAUGGAUAACCGUGGUAAAUCUAAGGCUAAUACAUGCGCAAAAGCCCAACGCAAGAAGGGCUGUAUUUAUUAGAUCUAACCAACAUUUGGUGAAUCAUAGUAACUGAUCGGACCGCGCGUUAGCGUGGUAAAUCGUUCAAGUUUCUGCCCUAUCAGCUUUCGAUGGUAGUGUAUUGGACUACCAUGGCAGUCACGGGUAACGGAGAAUUAGGGUUCGGUUCCGGAGAGGGAGCCUGAGAAACGGCUACCACAUCUAAGGAAGGCAGCAGGCGCGUAAAUUACCCAAUCCCGAUUCGGGGAGGUAGUGACAAGAAAUAACAACUCGAGAGGGUAACCUCUACGAGAUUGCAAUGAGAACAAUCCAAAAACCUUAGCGAUAACCAAUUGGAGGGCAAGUCUGGUGCCAGCAGCCGCGGUAAUUCCAGCUCCAAUAGCGUGCGCAAAAGUUGUUGCAGUUAAAAAGCUCGUAGUUGAACUUCUGGCUGUGCAUAGACUUGGCAUUAGUCGAUCUAUCGCAUAGUCAUCCGUUUGCGAACCCAGCUCGGCCUUUACUGGUUCGACUGGGAAAGCAAACAAUUUACCUUGAAAAAAUUAGAGUGUUUCAGGCAGGUAACCGCCGGAAUACAUUAGCAUGGAAUAAUGGAAUAGGACUUAGUUCCUUUGUUGGUUCUAGGAAUUGAGUAAUGAUUAAAAGGAACAGUUGGGGGCAUUAGUAUUUAAUUGUCAGAGGUGAAAUUCUUGGAUUUAUUAAAGACUAACUUAUGCGAAAGCAUUUGCCAAGGAUGUUUUCAUUAAUCAAGAACGAAAGUUAGGGGAUCAAAGACGAUCAGAUACCGUCGUAGUCUUAACUAUAAACCAUACCGACUCGGGAUCGGAAGGGUUUUUUUUCGGCCCUUUCGGCACCGUAUGAGAAAUCAAAGUCUUUGGGUUCUGGGGGGAGUAUGGUCGCAAGGCUGAAACUUAAAGGAAUUGACGGAAGGGCACCACCAGGAGUGGAGCCUGCGGCUUAAUUUGACUCAACACGGGGAAACUUACCAGGUCAAAACAUGGAUGGGAUGACAGAUGAAA